GCACUUGAAGAGGUGCAUCCAGCAGCUUUUCCACAUGCACCACGGCCCAAAGGCAAAGCAAGUUGCUGCUGAAGAACAAAAAGCAAGGACUAAAUCAAAAAUGAAAGAUGUUGCCUCCCUGCUGCACGUUCAAUAUGGCAUAGCCGACAUAAAAUCACGUCCAACCUCCACAUGGACAGCAACCGGUUUAACAAUGUAACAGAGGUGUGGCAGCAACUUGGAUAGCACGGUCCAACAAUAAAUUAAAGGGCUGCAACCGCAAACAGCAGCACGUCACGCAGCUGAUUAUGGCCCAAGCUGGCA
rnacentral:lncRNA from 1 species